rnacentral:sRNA from 1 species
UAAACGACAAACAAUG